UACAGAGGGUGCAAGCGUUAAUCGGAGUUACUGGGCGUAAAGGGCGCGUAGGCGGUCAUGUAAGUGAGGUGUGAAAUCCCUGGGCUUAACCUAGGAACUGCAUCUUAUACUGUAUGACUGGAGUACCGUAGAGGGUAGUGGAAUUUCCGGUGUAGCGGUGAAAUGCGUAGAGAUCGGAAGGAACACCAGUGGCGAAGGCGGGUACCUGGGCAGAAACUGACGCUGAGGCGCGAAAGCGUGGGGAGCAAACAGG
rnacentral:rRNA from 1 species